rnacentral:rRNA from 1 species
GUGAGGAAUUUUCCGCAAUGGGCGAAAGCCUGACGGAGCAAUGCCGCGUGAAGGAUGAAGGCCUAUGGGUUGUAAACUUCUUUUCUCAGAAAAGAAUUAUGACGGUAUCUGAGGAAUAAGCAUCGGCUAACUCUGUGCCAGCAGCCGCGGUAAGACAGAGGAUGCAAGCGUUAUCCGGAAUGAUUGGGCGUAAAGCGUCUGUAGGUUGUUUAAAAAGUAUUCUGUCAAAGAUUAGGGCUUAACCCUAGAUAGGCAGAAUAAACUUUUAAGCUAGAGUUUGGUAGAGGCAGAGGGAAUUCCCGGUGGAGCGGUGAAAUGCGUAGAUAUCGGGAGGAACACCAAAUGCGAAGGCACUCUGCUGGGCCAAUACUAACACUGAGAGACGAAAGCGAGGGGAGCAAAUGGGAUUAGAUACCCUGGUAGUCC